GUGGGCAGCAGGAGCAAGUGCAAUCCCUGGAGACGAGCCGAAGGGGCCCGAGGCCCCGAGAAGGGCAGGAUGCGAUGCUGGGUGUGUGACCUCAGCCAUGGAAGGGCCACCUGCCACCGGGGGGCUGGGCCGUCGGGCCUUUGGCUGUGGAGGGAAAAGAGUGGCCACUUGCUGGAGCUGGGAACGUGCAGUGAUGAGCACUAGGACAAGAGGACCGUGACAAACAGACAUAGAAGGACAGCAUUGAGUUCAAUGCCUCAAAAUUGCUGCGUUCUCCUUCUGCCAGUGCCCAGAGAUGCUCCCCACACCACACUGCGCUGCCAGGGGAUGUUAGAGGUGAUUCAAGACAGUUUUUCCUACCUCUUCAGUGCCUCUUUCAGCAAUAUGAAGUUAAAACCAGGUACUAUGAGAACUCACCUGAUUUUUAGUUCUUAUGAAGGUGCUUUCCUUGUGUAAAUAUUUGUUAAAUUGUUUUCCUUGCCAGAGGAAUGAUCAGUGGAGCCUUCUAUUCUGCCACCUUUCUCUGCCUCUCUCCAAUCCUCUUACCUUUUUCACACAGCCUUCGUGGUUAUCACAGUGACUUAAGAUGGAAUGUUAAAUACACUCUUUUAUAUUGGAAAUAAAAUGAAAACCAGGUAUAAACAAAAGAAACAAGCCACGGAGAAAAGAAAACAAACUUUGAAUAAUUAAUUUAUUGUAACUCAUAAGCCCAGCGUUGUAGAAAAAAUGUUGUCAUCCUGUUAUAUUUCUUUGUCUUCUUCCUGUUAGCAAGAAUUUGGCUUUUAACUUCUAAGCACUAUCCCUGUUUCUCUGUAGUGGUGCAUCCCAGAAUGGCCAUUCC
rnacentral:lncRNA from 1 species